GAGGGUAUAGCUCAACUGGUAGUGCAAAUGCUUAGCAUGCAUGAGGUCCUGGGUUCAAUCCCCACUACUUCCU
rnacentral:tRNA from 1 species